CGUAGGCGGCGUGUUAAGUCACUUGUGAAAUCUCUAAGCUUAACUUAGAACGGUCAAGUGAUACUGAUGUGCUAGAGUGCAGAAGGGGCAACCGGAAUUCUUGGUGUAGCGGUGAAAUGCGUAGAUAUCAAGAGGAACACCUGAGGUGAAGACGGGUUGCUGGGCUGACACUGACGCUGAGGCGCGAAAGCUAGGGUAGCAAACG
rnacentral:rRNA from 1 species